UACGGAGGGUGCAAGCGUUAUCCGGAAUCAUUGGGUUUAAAGCGUGCGCAGGCGGUUUUGUAAGACAGAGGUGAAAUCCCCGGGCUCAACCUGGGAACUGCCUUUGUGACUGCAAGGCUAGAGUACGGCAGAGGGGGGUGGAAUUCCGCGUGUAGCAGUGAAAUGCGUAGAUAUGCGGAGGAACACCGAUGGCGAAGGCAACCCCCUGGGCCUGUACUGACGCUCAUGCACGAAAGCGUGGGGAGCAAACAGG
rnacentral:rRNA from 1 species